CCACAAGGGGUGAAGCCUGCGGUUCAAUUGGAGUCAACGCCAGGAAACUUACCAGGAGAGACAGCAGAUUGAGGGUCAGGCUGAAGACCUUACCUGACGAGCUGAGAGGAGGUGCAUGGCCGUCGCCAGCUCGUGCCGUGAGGCGUCCUGUUAAGUCAGGCAACGAGCGAGACCCCUAUCCGUAAUUGCUGACUGUUCAGAGAUGGAUAGAGGCUAGUUACAGAGACUGCCGCUGCUAAAGCGGAGGAAGGAAGGGGCCACGGCAGGUCAGUAUGCCCCGAAACUCCUGGGCCACACGCGGGCUGCAAUGGUAGGGACAAUAGGUUCCGACCUCGAAAGAGGAAGGCAAUCCCGAAACCCUACCCCAGUUGUGAUCGAGGAUUGAAACCCGUCCUCGUGAAUAUGGAAUCCCUAGUAACCGCGUGUCAUCACCGCGCGGUGAAUACGUCCCUGCUCCUUGU
rnacentral:rRNA from 1 species